rnacentral:rRNA from 1 species
UACGGGGGGGGGCAAGCGUUGUUCGGAAUUACUGGGCGUAAAGGGCUCGUAGGUGGCCAACUAAGUCGGACGUGAAAUCCCUCGGCUUAACCGGGGAACUGCGUCCGAUACUGGAUGGCUUGAGUUUGGGAGAGGGAUGCGGAAUUCCAGGUGUAGCGGUGAAAUGCGUAGAUAUCUGGAGGAACACCGGUGGCGAAGGCGGCAUCCUGGGCCAACACUGACACUGAGGAGCGAAAGCCAGGGGAGCAAACGGG